rnacentral:lncRNA from 1 species
GGAAACAAGCUGAAAGCAUGAAAAUAACAUAGAUCUGAGAGAUUCAGAAAAGAGCUAGGGUUUAAAAAAGGAAACCCAAAAUAGAAAUUGAAAGAACCUGUUGUAACUUCACAAAUCGUAAGACACAUGGUGUGAUUUUGCCCAAAAUCACACCAGAGAAACCUCAAACAACAGAAUCAGAAACCUUAGGUCCCAAUCAAUAUGGCCCAGGACCCUUGAGGGCCUUAGAUAUGAUGAGCAAGGAGGUGGAGUGACCAUUGGAAGCUUGGGGUUGAGAGGAUGGUCGCCGGAGAUGACCAGAGAAGGAGAUGAGUGAAAGAGUCUAAGGUUAGGUUUGAGAGAAGAGAAAAUGAGAGCAUCCG